rnacentral:rRNA from 1 species
UACGUAGGGUGCGAGCGUUGUCCGGAAUUAUUGGGCGUAAAGGGCUCGUAGGCGGUUUGUCGCGUCUGCUGUGAAAACUAGAGGCUCAACCUCUAGCCUGCAGUGGGUACGGGCAGACUUGAGUGGUGUAGGGGAGACUGGAAUUCCUGGUGUAGCGGUGGAAUGCGCAGAUAUCAGGAGGAACACCGAUGGCGAAGGCAGGUCGU